GUACGGACCCUACUUCGAGGACACCCAAGAGCUGUGGCACGGAAAGGAAGCCCUCCAAGCCAAAGCAAAUAUAUUUAUAAAUACUCAGUGCAUUACCCAGCUGCCCAGGUGUAAGCAUCUAAGAUGGAUAUGAGUGCUGCUGCUGCUGCUAAGUCGCUUCAGUCGUGUCCGCCUCUGUGCGACCCCAUAGACGGAAGCCCACCAGGCUCCCCUGUCCCUGGGAUUCUCCAGGCAAGAGUACUGGAGUGGGUUGCCAUUUCCUUCUCCAGUGCAUGAAAGCGAAAAGUGAAAGUGAAGUUGCUCAGUCCUGCCCGACUUUUAGCGACCCCAUGGACUGCAGCCUACCAGGCUCCUCCGUCCAUGGGAUUUUCCAGGCAAGAGUACUGGAGUGGGGUGCCAUUGCCUUCUCCGUGGAUAUGAGUAAGAUAAUUUCGUCAUCCUCAGUUGCAAAGUCAUGUCCAUCUCUUUGCAACCCCAUGGACUGUAGUCCACUAGGCUUCUCUGUUCAUGGGCUUUUCCCGGCAAGAAUACUGGAGUGGGUGGCCAUUUCCUUCUCCACAGGAUCUUCCAACCCAGGAAUCGAGCCUGCGUCUCUUAUGUUUCUUGCAUUGGCAGGUGGAUUCUUUUACCACUGAGUCAUCUGGGAAGCCCAGGAGCCCACAACUACUACUGCCCACCCCACAUCCCAGCGUUUCCCACCAGAAUAAGAUUCCCUUCAGAUGAUAGUACCCGAUGUUUGCAUCCCUGCAGUUUUGUCUUAAGCCUGAAAUGCCGCAGAAUGCACUUCACAAACUGCAUGUUUUAAAAACACUCCCCUGGUGCCUGUGUGAUUUUGAAGUGCUGCAGAAGGCGCACUAAAGGCUUAUUAAGGCUUAUUA
ensembl:lncRNA